rnacentral:rRNA from 1 species
AGGACGAACGCUGGCGGCGUGCCUAACACAUGCAAGUCGAGCGAGGAGAUCCCUUCGGGGAUGAACCUAGCGGCGGACGGGUGAGUAACACGUGGGCAACCUGCCUUAUAGAGGGGAAUAGCCUUCCGAAAGGAAGAUUAAUACCGCAUAACAUUACAUUUUCGCAUGAAGAAGUAAUUAAAGGAGUAAUCCGCUAUAAGAUGGGCCCGCGGCGCAUUAGCUAGUUGGUGAGGUAACGGCUCACCAAGGCGACGAUGCGUAGCCGACCUGAGAGGGUGAUCGGCCACAUUGGGACUGAGACACGGCCCAGACUCCUACGGGAGGCAGCAGUGGGGAAUAUUGCACAAUGGGGGAAACCCUGAUGCAGCCAACGCCGCGUGAGUGAUGAAGGUCUUCGGAUCGUAAAGCUCUGUCUUCAGGGACGAUAAUGACGGUACCUGAGGAGGAAGCCACGGCUAACUACGUGCCAGCAGCAGC